GACUCAGCUCGUCCGCUAUUUGAUUGUCCGAUGUUGAGACGUGGAUGGCUACCGGAAAGAUGUGUUGCUGGUAGCACCACUCCCAGAGAUGGACAGCCAGAAACAGGAGGGACUUCGACUGUGUGCCUCCCUGCUUGUUGACGUAGAACAUUGUGGUGGUGUUGUCUGUUACUACUUGAAUAGCUCUGCCUCUUACAAGGGGGAGAAAGGCCCUGAGCACCUUUAUGACUGCCAACAUCUCCAGGUGAUUGAUGUGUAGUACAGACUCCUGUGGGGACCAUAAAGCAUGUAUCUGAUGGCCCUCGCAGUGGGCUCCCCAUCCCACUGGGCUGGCAUCCGUUGUCACCUGUCUCGUGAGUUGCAGACUGAAGAGAGCGCAUCUUGAGGCACGCAUGAGGCAGGGCAGCGGUUGUCGAGGCCAUGAGGCCUAGUAGGUGUUGAGCUAACCUGGCAGACACUGUCCUCCGAGGUUUGAACCUUCAAACCACCUUCCUGAUUUUUUGGAUGCGCUCUGGAGGUAGGAACAUGCGUGCAUGUACAGCAUCCAGACGUGCGCCUAUAUAGUCCAUCACCUGAGAAGGGUCCAGAUGUGACUUGUCGUAGUUGAUAGAUAGGUGCAGGGCUUGUAGGGUACGGAGGACCAGAUGAGUGUCCUCGUAUGCUUGAUUCUUGGAUUUGGACACAAUCAGUCAAUCGUCAAUGUAUGGGUAAAUCUGAAUCCCCCUCAAGCGCAGGUAAGCCGCCACCGGAGCCAUACACUUGGUGAAGGUUCUUGGCGCUGUGGACAAGCUGAACGGGAGCGCCACAAACUGGUAUAUAGUGUCUCUGAACAUCAGGCAUAGAUACUUUCUGUACUUCUUGUGGAUCGUGAUAUGGAAGUACGCAUCCUUGAGGUCCACCACAACAAACCAAUCUCCUUCUUUCAACAGGUGGAUGAUCCCUUCUAAAGUCACCAUUCUGAAGCGACGAGGUCUGAGGUAAGAGUUGAGGUCCCUCAGAUCCAAUAUAGGUCUUAGGCUGCCGUCCUUCUUGGGAACCGUAAAGUACCGGUAGUAGAACCUGUUCAGAAUGUCCCGUUGAGGUACCUUCUGGAUGGCUUGUUUUGCUAGAAGGGUGAGGAUCUCUUCCUCCAGGAUGGGGUCGAAUGAUGUAGGCCUGACCCCUCCUAGAGGGGGCAACUCUAUAAACUCCAGGCAGUAGCCUCAGCUUACAGUGUUCAAGACCCAGGUGUCCUGAGUAAUCAUGCACCAGUUGUGAAGAUAAGGAGACAGGCGUGUUGAUUGGUUGUUGGCCAGGAUGGAUAUGGGGAAGUCAAAGAUAUUGUUUCGACUUCCUGCCAAAAGGUUUGAAGGACUGACGUCUGUUAGACUGAGGUUUAAAACUUGAACCUGAGGAAGAGGCCUGAGAAGACCUUGGAGGCAGUUGGGAUCUAAAUGGGCGAUAUGUGGAUGAUGUAGCUUGCUGAAAUUGCUGUUGCUGUGGUCUAGGUCUCCACUGGAACUUAGAGGGCCUAGGCUGCUGCUGUACCGCAUAAGACUUUGCUGUUUUCUUGCUCUUAUGCAGGUUUUCCAGAUUUUCAUCUGUCUUCUCACUGAAGAGACCUGAAGCAUCAAAGGGCAGGUUCUUUAUCCUCGCCUUGAUGUCAUCUACUAUAUUCGCUGACCGCAGCCAAGCAUGCCUCCUGAGCGUAAUGAUGGAAGCAAGAUUUCUGGCAUUGGCAUCUGCAACGUGACAGGAAGCCAGGACUCUGAUGCUUGGAAAGAGUUUGCGCCUCAGCAUGAGCAUUGAGGCACAUUUGCCUAAUAUCCUCGGGUGCGACUUGAAGAGCCGGCAGCACCCUUGCCCACAAUUGUUUCUGAGGCUCAGAGGUUGCUGGUUUAGAGGACUCAGUCAACGUCGAGCUCUAGAAGAUUCUGAGAGGCCAGUGCAAGCGCUGUCUUUACCCACUGGUGGGGAUUCAUAGAGAAUGACGUUGAAGAAGUGAGUGACUUACCCCAAGAUGAUGUAGAAACAUGAAUAGAUCGUACUCGGAAGACAUAGCAGGUCCCUUUCGC